UGCCAGCAGCCUCGGUAAUACGGGGGGGGCAAGCGUUAUUCGGAAUUACUGGGCGUAAAGAGCGUGUAGGCGGAUAGAUAAGUUGGAAGUGAAAUCCUAUGGCUCAACCAUAGAACUGCUUCCAAAACUGUCUAUCUAGAAUAUGGGAGAGGUAGAUGGAAUUUCUGGUGUAGGGGUAAAAUCCGUAGAGAUUGGAAGGAACACCGAUGGCGAAGGCACUUUACUGGGCUAUUACUAACACUCAGAGACGAAAGAUAGGGUAGCAAAUGGGAUUAGAUA
rnacentral:rRNA from 1 species